AUGGAUGCUAUGCUCUGCUAUAAGUUCUGGUCUCACAAAUUCCUGAAUUUGACAUAUCAGCUACAAGCUAAUCCAGAAUGUUGUUUGUUGGUGGACAACACACUUGAUUGCCUUCAAAAGCAGCAUCAAGAAAAAAUGUGUACAUCUACUAGUAUUUUGAGUGAUUCAUAUAAAGUCCAACAUGUUGUGCCGCAGGAUGAAGGUUUGCUUAGUGUUGCACGCUUAAACAAAAAGAAGGGUCAGAAAAAGAGUUCAAAGCAACAUAUAAGUUGGCUCGAGAAGGAACACAAGUUUAAAAAGAAAAUACCAAUACAAUUCACACUAUGUUUAGAUGUCUGUAUUGGGUUGUUCAAUUGGAUUUGGUAA
rnacentral:rRNA from 1 species